CCUCCUCCUCCUCCUCUUCCUCCCUGCCGGGGUGAAACUCCAGCGCCGCACCCGCGCCUGACCUCCCCGAGCCCCGCCCCUUCCCGGUACGGGACCCCCACCUUCGCUCCCGGGAGCCCCGCUGCACCCCAGAGUUCCAUUCCUGCUUCCCCAGUGCGAGUGCGGCCGAGCGCUGACUUUUGGGGGCUCCCUUCCCCGUCUCACUGGGUCCCUCUGCGGCUCCCCCGCCCGCUGUCCCGCCUCAGACGUGGCUGCACCCCGGAGCGGGGCGCCGGCCGAGACCUGAGACGUGGCGAUGCCGCUCUGCCGGCCUCGGCUCCAGUGCUUGAAUUUCAGCCACAUCCCUAAGCUGCCAUCUCAGACCAGAGGAACAGGGAGGGGGCUUUCUGGAAAGAACAUCACCUGGAAGAAAUCAGGACAUGACUGUGGGCCAUGAGUGACCUUCAAGGAAAGCCAGGUAUCUGUGGUAUUUAAGAUGUGGUAAGAUUGUAUUAAAAUUAUAGAAAAAACCUCAAUCCAGAAAUCGUGGCCUCUUGACAUUUACAUCUUAACUGGAUUUUCCUGCCAAUGAGACACAUUACAAUCAUCCUCCAUGAGUGUUCUCUUUUUACCUGUCUUCAUUCUUUUAGAUCCAUGACAUUUAAGAACUGAAGAAACGAAAAGAUUGUCUGAUCAGUCCCAUCGGUCUUUUUCCUAAUGCUAAACAUUGAUACAAAGAUGUGAAGUUUGAUGUCUCACUAAGACUGCCUAGUGCUGCUUUAUUGCUCACCUACUUCAAAGUAUUGGGAAAACAUGAUUAUGGGUACAGGUGAGGCUGGGUUGCACCCAAACAGGUUUCUUUUGUCGGAUUCUUUUGAUGGAUUAGGAAUCUACAAGUGGGGAGAUUUAAGGGAAAUAGCCCCUACACUUGCAUUUUCUUUACGUCUUUAGGGUUCUCUUACCCUGAGAAACACGCAUUCCUCUUUAGUGUAGCAGCCCACUCUAUUGGCAAAGUUAAGCAGACUAGUUUUAUUUAAAAAGAGCCACCCAGAACCUUAGACAGAUAGAAAAUACUUGAGGCGCAGAUGAGAGUGAGCACAAAUGUGCAUAGCACAUGCAGUUUCCUGGCCCUUAAACUGAAGGGCCACGUCAGUCUGCUCCUCCAGGCACAGCCUGGGACCCCAUCAUGUGCCCGGCUCUGCAGUCUGAGCUUCUACUCAAGUCCACCAAGGCCUGCCUCACACAGCCCAUGUCUGGUCAGAGGGUUGCACUUUGCCACUGCCAUAUGUUCCCAGAGGUUGGCACAGCAUGACCUGGACCUCACCUAACCCAGGCAAACUCGGCUCAUCUUUGAGCUCUGUGGAACCCAUUUCUCACGGAAGAACCACAUUUCCGCACCUCACAGCCAUGUUCAAGGAAGCAGCCUGGGUAAAGCAAUGACUCAAGGAUACAACAAGCAGACCACACAAUUAACAAGACGUGCUGACUCGCAGGAGCAGCUGGGGGAGGGUCUGGAUUCCCACCUGGAAGUUGAUUGUGAUGGUGGAAAUACCAGGCACUUGUCGGGUGCAACGGCUCAUGCCUGUAAUCCCAGCACUUUGGGAGGUCGAGCAGGACAAUGUGAUUCCUUACUGAUAGAGGGAAUUCAGUUCCUCCAGGUCUGGCAGCCCUGAAGCUUCAUCCCUCAACAUUGCGGCCUAUGCAGCCAGUGCCCCUCCCCCUUUCUCCCACCCGGCUUUCCCAUCUGCAACCAAGCUUGUUGCACACCAUGUGCCAGACGUACGGCUGCACAUUCAAAAGAGAAUGAAAAGACACACAGAGGCGAUCCCUGCCCUUUCAGAAGUUACAGCUUACCGAGUUACAGCUUACUGAGUUAUGGAACCCACAAUUCUGGAGGCUGGAAAGUUCAAGAUCAAGGCACCAGCAGGUGAAGGCAGAGUCUCUGCUUCCAAGAUGGUGCCUCGUUUCUGCGUCCUCUGGAGGAGAGGAACACUGUGUCCACACAUGGCUGAAGAGCUGGAUGGAGAAAAGGGCCCAGCUAAUUCCCUCCAGCCCUUUUACAAGCCGCUAAUCCCACUUAUGAGAUCACAGCCCUUACAGCCUAAUCACCUCCGAAAGGCCCCACCUCUUAAUACUGUUGGAUUGAGAAUUAACUUUCAACAUGAAUUUUUGGGAGGAUACAGUCAAACCAUAGCAUUCUUCCCCUGCCCCCUCGAAAUUCAUGUCCUCAUAUAGAAAAUUCAUCCCAAAAUUGAUAACUUAUUGCCAAAAUUCUUAACGUGUUCCAGCAUUAACUUUAAAGUCUUAAGUCCAAGGUCUCAUUUAAACAUGAUCUAUAUCAGAUACAGCUGAGACUGAAGGUACAAUUCAUCCUAAGGCAAACUCCUCCAGCUCUGAGCCUAUGAAAUCAAACAAGUGAUGUGCUUCCAAAAUACGGUAGUGGUACAGGCAUAGGAUAACAUUCCCAUUCAGGAAGGGAGAAAUGGGCAAGAAGAAAGUGUCACAGGCCCCAUGGAAGUCCAAAACCCAACAAGGCAAACUGUUAAAUCUUGAGGUUUGAGAAUGGUCUUUUUUGAGUCCAUGUUCAUCCGUACACACUGGGGCAAGGGUUGGACAUCCAAGGGUCCAACCAGCCCUACCCCCAUGGCUUUGCUGGGCACAGCCCAUGCUGUAGCUCUCACAAGUUGGAGUCUAGUGCCUGUAGCUCUCCUAGGCUGGCAUUGCACACUGGUGGCUCUACCAGUUUGGGAUCUCGGGGGCAACCCUGACCCCACAGCUCUGCUGGUCAUUACCCUAGUAGGCACCCUCUGCACCUAUCUCACCUUUGGGACAGUGCUCUGGGCUCUCCAAGACAUCUUUUGAAAUCUACAUGGAGAUAGCCAUGACUCCACAGCUCAUACACUCUAUAUAAAUGCAGAGUUGGCACUUCAAGAAUGUCACCAAGGCUUAUUACUUGUACCUUUCAGAAGGGUGGCCCAAGCCACAUCUGAGCCCACUUGAGCCCCAGCUGGAGCAGCUAAAAAGCACUGUGUUAGAAUGCGGGGAACAAAUAUCUGAGGAGGCCGCAGGCAGUGAGCCCUGAGGUGCCACAGGUGCCCUGGGCCCCUCCCUUGAAACCUUUCUGACUUGAAGGCCCUGGUACUCUGGGAUCAUGAUGGGAGCGGCAGCCUCAAAGAUUGAAAUGCCUCUGGAAUCAUUCUUCUAUUAUCCGGAUAAAUAGCGUCUGGCUUCCUUAUAGCCACACUAAUAUCAUAUCAAACGUUAUGUUUGCUUAGCCAUGCCCUUGGUAUUCUCUGAAUAUUCAUUUGCAAUUACUAUUCAGAGGGCUGAGCAUGCCCUUUGAACCUUUACAACCUGGAAAGACUGAAAAUUUUCCAUAUCUUUAAGUUCUGCUUCCCUUUUUAUUGUAAAUUCAUUUUUAAUUCAUUUCUCUUCUCUUGCAUUUUAUGAUAAACAGUCAAGAAAAGCCAUGUAGUACCUUGAACACUUUGCUUAGAGAUUUCUUUCACCAAAUAUCCUAGUAUAUCACUCUUAAAUUCUGCCCUCCACGGAGCACUAGAAUGCAGACACAAUUCAGCCAAGUUCUUUGCCACUUUAUAACAAAGAUAGCCUUUCCUCCAGUUUCCAGAACAUUUCCAUCUGACACCUCACCAAAAUGACCUUUAGCAUCCAUAUUUCUACCAACAUUUUGAUUACAAUCUUUUACAUAAUCUCCAAGAAGACUGAGGCUCUGUCUAUAACUCUUCUUCUGAGCCUUUACCUUUGACAGUCCAUUUAUGGAAAUCUAGGCUUUUUCUAGCCUACUUUGCCAAACUCAGCCUCUACCCAUUACCCAGUUCCAAAGUUGCUUCCACAUUUUCAGGUAUUCACUACAGCAGCACCCCACUACUCAUUACUAAUUUCUGUUUUAGUUCAUUCCAGGUUGCUAUAACAAAAACCUUAAGCUGGUUACUUUAUAAAUAAUAGAAAUAUAUUUCUCAUGGUUCUGAAGACUGAGAAGUCCAAGAUCAAAUCACCAGUAGGUUCAGUAUCUGGUCAUUGCUUCCAAGGCAAAAUUAAUCCUUAUUUUAUUAUCAGCAUUCCAGUGAAUAGAAGAAUCAUAGGCCAAAUACUAACAAAUUCAAGGAUGUUUUAUCAUUAGAAAAUAUGCUAAUAUAAAUCACCUCAUCAACAAAUUUUUAAAAAACCAUAUGAUUAUUUCAAUAGCUGCAGAAUAUGUUUUGAUAAAAUUAAACAUGUGUUUGUCAUUCAAAAAAAAAACCUCUUAGCUAACUAGUAAUAGAAGGGAAUUUACCUAAAUUGACAGACUAUCUACCAAAAAAAAAAAAAAAAUCAACAAAAAACUUGUUAUUUAGUGGUGAAAAGUCUUAGGCAUUCAAUUGAAAGAGAAGAUCAAGACAACCUGUACUUUCAGUCACUGUUGUUGAAGAGAAAUAUCUGUAAGGACAAAUCAAAUCUCCUUAUGGAUAUUUCUCUUCAACAUCUAAACAGUGAUUGAAAAGGGAAAAGUUAACUUUCAAUUUCAGAUGAUAUAAUUGUAUCUAAUAAAGACACUUAGGAAAAUCUGCAUAUCAACAAUUAGAAUAAAGAGAAAGUUCUAUUAAGUUCUGAAAGACUUUUGUGAAAAAAUUAUAAAGCUAAAUUUAAAUCCUAAAGAAGAACAAAAUAAAUGUAUGCUAUUCCACAUUGAUGUAUUGGAAGAUUCAGUAUAUAAUACCUUGAAUAUAAAAUAUUCAUACAGAAAUAUCCAUGCUACCCAAAUUUAUCCUUCAAUACAAUGUAUAUCUCAUCAAAAUCUCAACUGGCUUUUUACAAAACCUAACAUCCUAAAGUUUAUAAGCAAAGCAAACACAAAUUUCCAUAAGUGAUUAAGGAAUGUCUGUAGAUUAGGAACAAGGUUGAUAAGCAUCAUAUCAAUAUUGUUCAUAGGGCUAUAGAAAUUAAGACAUGGAGAUAUUGACCCAGGGACAGACAUAGAGAAUAAUAAACAAAUCCUAUAAACAGACCCACAUAGACCCCCUCUUGAGUGACAUGUGACAAAAGAGGUAUGGUGGCUCUCUGGGGAAAAAAGGUACUCAAUAGAUGGGCCUAAGACAAUUGACUACUCAUAUGUAAAAACAGUGAAUUAGUACCCCCCCUCUUAAGCUAUUUAUAGAACAACUUCAAAUUAGUUUAAAGCAAAGUGAGAAACAAAACAUUACUUACGAAAACCUACAAGACACUAUCUGUAUGACCACUGGAUGGGAAAGCAGUUCUUAAAACAAGAUACAAAGACUAGCCAUAAAGAAAAAGAAAUCAAUACAGUAAACAACAUUAAAGUUUAGAACUUCCAUAUGAUGAUAUACAACUUAAAAACAAGCCAUAGCCUAGGGGAAUUUUCAGUGCAUACAAAUGACAAAAGAUGGUAGGCAAAAUAUAUUUUCAAAGUCCUACCAAUCCAUUGGAAAAGGACAAAGCAAAAACUGUACAAAUGAAACAAGAAGCUCAAUGGCCAAUAAGUAUAACAACACAAGCUCCCCAAUAAUCACGGAAAGUCAGUUAAAACCAGGAUGCAUCAUUUCAUACCAAUCAGAGCAGCAAUAAUGAAAAAUAUCUGACAAUACCAGCUGUUAUCAGAUGUUGGCAAGGGAACCUUUAGAGGUGUAAGUUGGUACAAUCACUUGGGAAGGCACUGUGGCCACUCUUGCAAUGUCUAAAAUGUACAUUCCAUGCAGUGCAGUUGACAAGGUUGCAGAAGGAACAUGUAGUAUACUGCCAGUUUAUAUAAAGUAUGUAAACCAAAAAAUCAGAUCUAUAUUUUAUGGAUACAUGCACAGUAGUAAAAUAGCACAGAAAUGAUAAAUAAUAAAUUCAGUAAUAUGGCAAGGGAGGGAAAAGGGAGAUUGUGCAAAGAUCAUCAAAGGCCACCAACUUUAUCUUUGAUUCUGUUUUCCACUAAAAUGGAAAAAAAAAUGCAGCAAAUAAUGAAAAAUGUUAAGAUCAGACAGAGAUGCUUUGGUGGGUGUUCAUUAGAUUAUUAUCCUUUUCUGUAUGCUCAGAAGAUUUCAUAAUUCAAUAGAGAGGGUUAAUAGGAAGGAAGAAAGUGCAGACAGGAGGUGGAAACUCAUUAGAACAGUUUUGUCCUGAAGAGAAACAAAUAAACUGAUAGCAGGUGGACCUGUGCACAUAGGGUUGUAUUCCACAGUGGGUCAUUGGAAGCAUGUUUAUAUGUUGGUUGAGAUAACUCCAUGUACAGUGAGAAAGUGUCUACAUAAUAGAGAAAUAAGAUAACUCCCGGAACGAAGGCUUUGGAAAGGUAAGAGUUCACAGGAGUUCGUUUGGAGACAGUAGAGCCCCCGCCUUGAAUGGUCGUUGGAGUAGGAACCAGGGAGACCAGGUAGAGGUAGAAAUGGAUUCUUCAGUGGUGCAAAUUGUUCGAGGGCUUGCUGCCCUGGGGGCUUAUGUUUUAGUAAUGAAGUAUGAGGCUAGAUUUGGGUGGGGAGUAGGGAAAAGACAUGAAUGUUAGAAAAGAGAAGAGAAACUAUGAAAUGGACAUCUUGGAAAUCAGGCAAACAAACUUACUGGGAACGUGUACUGGAAUGUCAUGCGGUAUUGGAUGACCAGUCAAGGCUCAUGGUAAUCACCCUAAAGUGAACCCCAUCAGCAUAUUUGUGGGAUUUUCUCGAGGAACAUUCGGUAGCUCAGGCACCGGUGUGGAUAACAUGGAUGAUUGAUUCCAACCAGGAGGUGGCAUCCCCACACAAACCGGAGAGAGGAACAGAAAAGUCGAGGAUGUCUGCAGGGAGGCGACUUUAAGGAUGGUCACACAAUGUAAGCUAACAAGGAGGACACAGGGAGAAAAAGGAUCAUAGUUUCAACAGACUGGAGGACUAGAUGAGGUCCAGAAUCCGAAUGUUUACUUAUGGUCCAAGAUGUGUUCAUGAUAGUAGGAGCUACAGUGGAAUUACUGUUGUUAGAGGAGAGGACAGAUGGCCAGCCUCCUAGAGGUGUAAUCAGUAUAGAUGUUUAAGUCAGCAAAAAGAAACUUCAGUGAACAAAGCAAUGUGACACAGGACGUUCAACAGACAACAGCCACAAGUAAAAUCACUUUAUAGAUGUUGAAAAUGUGGUCCAGAGAGUGAAUCUCUACAAAGUAAAUCCCAAACUAAUAACCGAAAGAGCCUGUGAGUAUUUGACUCCAAGCUCCCUUCUCUUUCUAGUACCAAACUGCUUAUACAAGUUUCAACACAGUAAACUUUAACAGUUAUACAAUGAAAUUUUAUCUGAAUCUCCAAUAACUCCCCUCAAAGGAGCUGAGGAUGACCCUUAACCAGUAUGACUAAUCAGAAAUAUCUGGGGAAUUUUUUCAACAUACACAAGCCAAGGCUGACGCUAUACGUAGUGAAUCAGUCUCCAAGGGGUAGGGUCCAGGCCUGUGGUUUCAGAAACGUUUCCCAGGUACAUCUGAUGCACAGCCUGUUCAAGAACCAGUGGACUUCAGAUUAUUUUCAGUACCAAACCUCACCUGUUUUUAAAGCACAGAUCAUUCCGAUAGUCCUGAGAAACAACUGGACCAAGAGAACAAACAAGACUUUAGUGCCCAGUUGUGUUUAUCUGGCCAUCUCUAAGGUUCUAGAAUUAUUGUUUUGCAUGCACUAUAUAGCAACUCAUUCCAUCCUGGACUGUAUUGAGAAACAUGUUUUCUAUUCUGUAUCUUAUGUAAUCACAAAAGAGUCUUAGUGUUUGCUUAUUGUGCUCAAAGAUUCACUUUUAUCAAUUUAUUGAUGAAAUAUCCACUUUUACCAAUUUAUUUCUAUAAAGUGUUUUGCUUAUCA